rnacentral:rRNA from 1 species
GGGUUGUGAGGUUAAGCGACUAAGCGUACACGGUGGAUGCCCUGGCAGUCAGAGGCGAUGAAGGACGUGCUAAUCUGCGAUAAGCGCCGGUAAGGUGAUAUGAACCGUUAUAACCGGCGAUUUCCGAAUGGGGAAACCCAGUGUGAUUCGUCACACUAUCAUUAACUGAAUCCAUAGGUUAAUGAGGCGAACCGGGGGAACUGAAACAUCUAAGUACCCCGAGGAAAAGAAAUCAACCGAGAUUCCCCCAGUAGCGGCGAGCGAACGGGGAGGAGCCCAGAGCCUGAAUCAGCAUGUGUGUUAGUGGAAGCGUCUGGAAAGGUGCGCGAUACAGGGUGACAGCCCCGUACACAAAAGCGCAUGUGCUGUGAGCUCGAUGAGUAGGGCGGGACACGUGGUAUCCUGUCUGAAUAUGGGGGGACCAUCCUCCAAGGCUAAAUACUCCUGACUGACCGAUAGUGAACCAGUACCGUGAGGGAAAGGCGAAAAGAACCCCGGCGAGGGGAGUGAAAAAGAACCUGAAACCGUGUACGUACAAGCAGUGGGAGCACAGGUUUACCUGUGUGACUGCGUACCUUUUGUAUAAUGGGUCAGCGACUUAUAUUCUGUAGCAAGGUUAACCGUAUAGGGGAGCCGUAGGGAAACCGAGUCUUAACCGGGCGUUAAGUUGCAGGGUAUAGACCCGAAACCCGGUGAUCUAGCCAUGGGCAGGUUGAAGGUUGGGUAACACUAACUGGAGGACCGAACCGACUAAUGUUGAAAAAUUAGCGGAUGACCUGUGGCUGGGGGUGAAAGGCCAAUCAAACCGGGAGAUAGCUGGUUCUCCCCGAAAGCUAUUUAGGUAGCGCCUCGUGAAUUCAUCUCCGGGGGUAGAGCACUGUUUCGGCUAGGGGGCCAUCCCGGCUUACCAACCCGAUGCAAACUGCGAAUACCGGAGAAUGUUAUCACGGGAGACACACGGCGGGUGCUAACGUCCGUCGUGAAGAGGGAAACAACCCAGACCGCCAGCUAAGGUCCCAAAGUCAUGGUUAAGUGGGAAACGAUGUGGGAAGGCCCAGACAGCCAGGAUGUUGGCUUAGAAGCAGCCAUCAUUUAAAGAAAGCGUAAUAGCUCACUGGUCGAGUCGGCCUGCGCGGAAGAUGUAACGGGGCUAAACCAUGCACCGAAGCUGCGGCAGCGACGCUGAUGCGUUGUUGGGUAGGGGAGCGUUCUGUAAGCCUGCGAAGGUGACCUGUGAGGGUUGCUGGAGGUAUCAGAAGUGCGAAUGCUGACAUAAGUAACGAUAAAGCGGGUGAAAAGCCCGCUCGCCGGAAGACCAAGGGUUCCUGUCCAACGUUAAUCGGGGCAGGGUGAGUCGACCCCUAAGGCGAGGCCGAAAGGCGUAGUCGAUGGGAAACGGGUUAAUAUUCCCGUACUUGGUGUUACUGCGAAGGGGGGACGGAGAAGGCUAUGUUGGCCGGGCGACGGUUGUCCCGGUUUAAGCGUGUAGGUGUGUGUUCCAGGUAAAUCCGGUUCACUUUAACACUGAGGCGUGACGACGAGGCACUACGGUGCUGAAGCAACAAAUGCCCUGCUUCCAGGAAAAGCCUCUAAGCAUCAGGUAACACGAAAUCGUACCCCAAACCGACACAGGUGGUCAGGUAGAGAAUACCAAGGCGCUUGAGAGAACUCGGGUGAAGGAACUAGGCAAAAUGGUGCCGUAACUUCGGGAGAAGGCACGCUGACACGUAGGUGAAGUGAUUUACUCAUGGAGCUGAAGUCAGUCGAAGAUACCAGCUGGCUGCAACUGUUUAUUAAAAACACAGCACUGUGCAAACACGAAAGUGGACGUAUACGGUGUGACGCCUGCCCGGUGCCGGAAGGUUAAUUGAUGGGGUCAGCGCAAGCGAAGCUCCUGAUCGAAGCCCCGGUAAACGGCGGCCGUAACUAUAACGGUCCUAAGGUAGCGAAAUUCCUUGUCGGGUAAGUUCCGACCUGCACGAAUGGCGUAAUGAUGGCCAGGCUGUCUCCACCCGAGACUCAGUGAAAUUGAACUCGCUGUGAAGAUGCAGUGUACCCGCGGCAAGACGGAAAGACCCCGUGAACCUUUACUAUAGCUUGACACUGAACAUUGAGCCUUGAUGUGUAGGAUAGGUGGGAGGCUUUGAAGUGUGGACGCCAGUCUGCAUGGAGCCGACCUUGAAAUACCACCCUUUAAUGUUUGAUGUUCUAACGUGGACCCGUAAUCCGGGUUGCGGACAGUGUCUGGUGGGUAGUUUGACUGGGGCGGUCUCCUCCUAAAGAGUAACGGAGGAGCACGAAGGUUGGCUAAUCCUGGUCGGACAUCAGGAGGUUAGUGCAAUGGCAUAAGCCAGCUUGACUGCGAGCGUGACGGCGCGAGCAGGUGCGAAAGCAGGUCAUAGUGAUCCGGUGGUUCUGAAUGGAAGGGCCAUCGCUCAACGGAUAAAAGGUACUCCGGGGAUAACAGGCUGAUACCGCCCAAGAGUUCAUAUCGACGGCGGUGUUUGGCACCUCGAUGUCGGCUCAUCACAUCCUGGGGCUGAAGUAGGUCCCAAGGGUAUGGCUGUUCGCCAUUUAAAGUGGUACGCGAGCUGGGUUUAGAACGUCGUGAGACAGUUCGGUCCCUAUCUGCCGUGGGCGCUGGAGAACUGAGGGGGGCUGCUCCUAGUACGAGAGGACCGGAGUGGACGCAUCACUGGUGUUCGGGUUGUCAUGCCAAUGGCACUGCCCGGUAGCUAAAUGCGGAAGAGAUAAGUGCUGAAAGCAUCUAAGCACGAAACUUGCCCCGAGAUGAGUUCUCCCUGAGACUUAGAGUCUCCUGAAGGAACGUUGAAGACGACGACGUUGAUAGGCCGGGUGUGUAAGCGCAGCGAUGCGUUGAGCUAACCGGUACUAAUGAACCGUGAGGCUUAACCUUACAACGCCGAAG